rnacentral:rRNA from 1 species
GGGUUGUGAGGUUAAGUGACUAAGCGUACACGGUGGAUGCCUAGGCAGUCAGAGGCGAUGAAGGGCGUGCUAAUCUGCGAAAAGCGUCGGUAAGGUGAUAUGAACCGUUACAACCGGCGAUACCCGAAUGGGGAAACCCAGUGUGUUUCGACACACUAUCAUGUCAUGAAUACAUAGUGGCAUGAGGCGAACCGGGGGAACUGAAACAUCUAAGUACCCCGAGGAAAAGAAAUCAACCGAGAUUCCCCCAGUAGCGGCGAGCGAACGGGGAGGAGCCCAGAACCUGAAUCGGCUUGUGUGUUAGUGGAAGCGUCUGGAAAGUCGCGCAGUAAAGGGUGAUAGCCCCGUACACUAAAAUGCACAGGUCGUGAGUUCGAUGAGUAGGGCGGGACACGUGACAUCCUGUCUGAAUAUGGGGGGACCAUCCUCCAAGGCUAAAUACUCCUGACUGACCGAUAGUGAACCAGUACCGUGAGGGAAAGGCGAAAAGAACCCCGGCGAGGGGAGUGAAAUAGAACCUGAAACCGUGUACGUACAAGCAGUGGGAGCACCUUCGUGGUGUGACUGCGUACCUUUUGUAUAAUGGGUCAGCGACUUAUAUUUUGUAGCAAGGUUAACCGUAUAGGGGAGCCGUAGGGAAACCGAGUCUUAACUGGGCGAAUAGUUGCAAGGUAUAGACCCGAAACCCGGUGAUCUAGCCAUGGGCAGGUUGAAGGUUGGGUAACACUAACUGGAGGACCGAACCGACUAAUGUUGAAAAAUUAGCGGAUGACUUGUGGCUGGGGGUGAAAGGCCAAUCAAACCGGGAGAUAGCUGGUUCUCCCCGAAAGCUAUUUAGGUAGCGCCUCGUGAACUCAUCUUCGGGGGUAGAGCACUGUUUCGGCUAGGGGGCCAUCCCGGCUUACCAAACCGAUGCAAACUCCGAAUACCGAAGAAUGUUAUCACGGGAGACACACGGCGGGUGCUAACGUCCGUCGUGAAGAGGGAAACAACCCAGACCGCCAGCUAAGGUCCCAAAGUCAUGGUUAAGUGGGAAACGAUGUGGGAAGGCAUAGACAGCCAGGAUGUUGGCUUAGAAGCAGCCAUCAUUUAAAGAAAGCGUAAUAGCUCACUGGUCGAGUCGGCCUGCGCGGAAGAUGUAACGGGGCUAAACCAUGCACCGAAGCUGCGGCAGCGACGCUUAGGCGUUGUUGGGUAGGGGAGCGUUCUGUAAGCCGUUGAAGGUGGCCUGUGAGGGUUGCUGGAGGUAUCAGAAGUGCGAAUGCUGACAUAAGUAACGAUAAAGCGGGUGAAAAGCCCGCUCGCCGGAAGACCAAGGGUUCCUGUCCAACGUUAAUCGGGGCAGGGUGAGUCGACCCCUAAGGCGAGGCUGAAAAGCGUAGUCGAUGGGAAACAGGUUAAUAUUCCUGUACUUGGUGUUACUGCGAAGGGGGGGACGGAGAAGGCUAGGCUAGCCGGGCGACGGUUGUCCCGGUUUAAGCGUGUAGGGGGUGUGACCUGGUAAAUCCGGUUGCAUAUCAACCCUGAGGCGUGAUGACGAUGCACUACGGUGCAGAAGUAGUUGAUGCCCUGCUUCCAGGAAAAGCCUCUAAGCUCCAGGUAACAUUGAAUCGUACCCCAAACCGACACAGGUGGUCAGGUAGAGAAUACCAAGGCGCUUGAGAGAACUCGGGUGAAGGAACUAGGCAAAAUGGUGCCGUAACUUCGGGAGAAGGCACGCUGGCAUGUAGGUGAAGUCCCUUGCGGAUGGAGCUGAAGCCAGUCGAAGAUACCAGCUGGCUGCAACUGUUUAAUAAAAACACAGCACUGUGCAAACACGAAAGUGGACGUAUACGGUGUGACGCCUGCCCGGUGCUGGAAGGUUAAUUGAUGGGGUCAGCCGCAAGGCGAAGCUCUUGAUCGAAGCCCCAGUAAACGGCGGCCGUAACUAUAACGGUCCUAAGGUAGCGAAAUUCCUUGUCGGGUAAGUUCCGACCUGCACGAAUGGCGUAAUGAUGGCCAGGCUGUCUCCACCCGAGACUCAGUGAAAUUGAACUCGCUGUGAAGAUGCAGUGUACCCGCGGCAAGACGGAAAGACCCCGUGAACCUUUACUAUAGCUUGACACUGAACAUUGAGCCUUGAUGUGUAGGAUAGGUGGGAGGCUUUGAAGCGUGGACGCCAGUCUGCGUGGAGCCAUCCUUGAAAUACCACCCUUUAAUGUUUGAUGUUCUAACUCGGCCCCAUAAUCUGGGGUGAGGACAGUGUCUGGUGGGUAGUUUGACUGGGGCGGUCUCCUCCCAAAGAGUAACGGAGGAGCACGAAGGUUAGCUAAUCACGGUCGGACAUCGUGAGGUUAGUGCAAAGGCAUAAGCUAGCUUGACUGCGAGAGUGACGGCUCGAGCAGGUACGAAAGUAGGUCUUAGUGAUCCGGUGGUUCUGAAUGGAAGGGCCAUCGCUCAACGGAUAAAAGGUACUCCGGGGAUAACAGGCUGAUACCGCCCAAGAGUUCAUAUCGACGGCGGUGUUUGGCACCUCGAUGUCGGCUCAUCACAUCCUGGGGCUGAAGUAGGUCCCAAGGGUAUGGCUGUUCGCCAUUUAAAGUGGUACGCGAGCUGGGUUUAGAACGUCGUGAGACAGUUCGGUCCCUAUCUGCCGUGGGCGUUGGAAGAUUGAGAGGGGUUGCUCCUAGUACGAGAGGACCGGAGUGAACGCACCACUGGUGUUCGGGUUGUCAUGCCAAUGGCAUUGCCCGGUAGCUAAGUGCGGAAAAGAUAAGCGCUGAAAGCAUCUAAGCGCGAAACUUGCCUCAAGAUGAGUCUUCCCUGGGCCUUUAAGGUCCCUGAAGGAACGUUUAAGACUAAGACGUUGAUAGGCUGGGUGUGUAAGUGCAGCGAUGCAUUGAGCUAACCAGUACUAAUGAUCCGUGAGGCUUAACCUUACAACACCGAAGGUGUUU